rnacentral:rRNA from 1 species
AUUGAACGCUGGCGGCAUGCCUUACACAUGCAAGUCGAACGGCAGCACGGGUGCUUGCACCUGGUGGCGAGUGGCGAACGGGUGAGUAAUACAUCGGCACAUGUCCUGUAGUGGGGGAUAGCCCGGCGGAAGCCGGAUUAAUACCGCAUACGAUCUACGGAUGAAAGCGGGGGACCUUCGGGCCUCGCGCUAUAGGGUUGGCCGAUGGCGGAUUAGCUAGUUGGUGGGGUAAAGGCCUACCAAGGCGACGAUCAGUAGCUGGUCUGAGAGGACGACCAGCCACACUGGGACUGAGACACGGCCCAGACUCCUACGGGAGGCAGCAGUGGGGAAUUUUGGACAAUGGGCGAAAGCCUGAUCCAGCAAUGCCGCGUGUGUGAAGAAGGCCUUCGGGUUGUAAAGCACUUUUGUCCGGAAAGAAAUGCUUGGCCCUAAUACGGUCGGGGGAUGACGGUACCGGAAGAAUAAGCACCGGCUAACUACGUG